GAUGAACGCUAGCGGCAGGCUUAACACAUGCAAGUCGAGGGGUAACAGGGAUUGCUUGCAAUCCGCUGACGACCGGCGAACGGGUGCGUAACGCGUAUGCAACCUACCUUUUACAGGGGAAUAGCCCAAAGAAAUUUGGAAUAAUACCCCAUACGAUCUACAAUUGGCAUCAAUUGAAGAGGAAAACUCCGGUGGUAAAAGAUGGGCAUGCGUCCUAUUAGUUAGUUGGUAAGGUAAAGGCUUACCAAGACUUCGAUAGGUAGGGGUCCUGAGAGGGAGAUCCCCCACACUGGUACUGAGACACGGACCAGACUCCUACGGGAGGCAGCAGUGAGGAAUAUUGGACAAUGGAGGCAACUCUGAUCCAGCCAUGCCGCGUGCAGGAAGACGGCCCUACGGGUUGUAAACUGCUUUUAUACAGGAAGAAUUGUACCUACGUGUAGGUAUUUGACGGUACUGUAAGAAUAAGGAUCGGCUAACUCCGUGCCAGCCGCCGCCGUAAAAC
rnacentral:rRNA from 1 species